UGAGGAGGAGGAGGAGCAGGAGGAGAAGGAGGAAGAAGAGGAGGAAGAGGGUUCGUCCCCCAUCACGGUGAUCCAGCAGCACCUCCAGGGCAGAGCUGAGCUGGUGGCGGACAGGGCCAAACAGCUCCGCUUCCUCCAGGCUGUGCCGCGUCUCUGCUUCUCGGCACAGAAGCAGGGGCGGGACACCCUGGAGCCCCCAGUCUCCAAAGCAGCCCUCGUGGAGAGCAUUGCGGAGCUGAUUGAAAAUCUCCCUGGUGCGUCAGAGCCGAGCUCCAUCAUGCCCAGCUCCAUGGCCGCAGUUUGCAGCCUCAGGCUCUGUACAACACCUAUUCCCAGAGCCUGGACAUCCUGCUCAGGGGCCUGCUGACGGAGACCCCCACCAUGGAGAAGCUGCAGCACCUCCUGGAGGUGUGCCCCAUCAGAUCUCCAACCUCCUGCGGCUGGCAGAUGAGGGAGGCCACAAGGACAUCGUGG